rnacentral:lncRNA from 1 species
UUCUCAAGAUCAUCAAUAACUGUAUACCAAAGAUUCUACAUUGUUUGUCUGUCGUAAGUUAAAUCCUUGCCGGAAUUCACUGGUAUCAAGCAAAUAAGACGAAUGGAUUAAUCCACGCAUCAGAUUUCGUCAAGUAAAAACUGAAAACAAAAAGUAGCCACUAGAUGAGUUACUGCUACAAACCAUACAUGUUCUACCAAGCCACAAAGACAUUAAGAAAACUACACAAUUAAUCACUUGAAGAUCCAUCAUCAUCUUCAUGCUCUGCCACAACCUUCUCGAGGAAACUCUUUCGUACUCCAUCCAAAACAGCUUCUCUGGAUUGUUCAUGUUUUCUACGUCCAUCAUUUAGUACAGGAUCCGAUUGGCAGAGUGUUAGUGCAACACCUAAAACCGAAUAGAUGAAGAGCAAUCAUAUCAACUGACAAGCCAGCAAAUAGUAUUAAAAGAAGCAAAUUGCUACCAGAACAAUUUGAUAAAAGCAAACCUAAUACCUGAUAAAACACUAGAAAAGAAAACACUAAAACCAUGCACAAAGACGAAAAGUUGCUAUAGAAAUACAUGUGGAAAUAACUAGCCGAAAACGGUUAGAUGCAGCAGACAAAACCUUCCUGAAAACAGGGCAAGGUCCAAAAUUGUCUUAAAAGUGCAGGCAAACUUAGCAAGAGAACAGCUACCAACAUAACCAAGAAACUGAUGAAGAUUAAUAGUCAUGUCUAAUGUUGUGCACACCUCUGCUUUCAGCAAAUGUUUUAUAUAAGAGAAGAUAUAUGCCUUACAACAUUAAAAGGAAUUCAAGAGACACUCAACCUUUGUCUAAAUAUGAGUAGGCAAAAAGAGGUAACACGUGAAACUUUCCCAAAAGAAUGUCAGCACGUCAAGAACGUUUUGAACGUAAAUGGGCAUAUUUCCACCUACUACACUGACGCCAAAUAAAUGCAAGAUACCAGAAAGAAUACCACAUAUCAAUCAGCCAUGUUAGUAGCUUUAUGACUGCACCUUAUUAAUCUAUCACCCUAAGGACUCCAGUAAUCUCUACCCUUUCAUCUUUCUGUACAGUGCAUGCACAACUAUAUAAAGAAAUGAAGCUCUUCUUUCUCUUGCACACUUGUAAUAAUAAAAAUUAAGUCUCACUUCUCAGGACGAUGCCUAGUGCAAAGAGAUGAAACUAGCUAGUCAUGUGUAAAUGACAAAGUAACAGAAUACAUCAAGUAUAAAAUAGCUGGAAUGUGAAAAGUGUUAUAAAAUAUAACCCAAAAUAACAAUAAAAGUGAAGAAAAUAUGUCAUGGAAUAUGUCAUUGAACAUACAAAAUAUGUCAUUGAAUAUGUCAUUNAACAUUUGAGAUGAAGAUCAUGGAAGAAGA